GACGUAGGGGGCGAGCGUUGUCCGGAGUCACUGGGCGUAAAGGGCGCGCAGGCGGCCACGUUGGCCGCCGCGUGAAAGCCCCCGGCUCAACCGGGUGGUUGCGGGUGGGACCGCGUGGCUGGAGGAUGGUAGGGGCCAGUGGAAUUCCCGGUGUAGUAGUGAAAUGCGUAGAUACCGGGAGGAACACCCGCGGCGAAGGCGGCUGGCUGGGCCAUUCCUGACGCUGAGGCGCGAAGGCCCGGGGAGCGAACGGG
rnacentral:rRNA from 1 species